AAGAUCCCGGUGGUUUACCUUUUUAAUUCCUUCUUUUUUUUUUAUUCCUAAAAUAGUAAAAUUUGUGAGGUUGACACCUGGAUGAAAGUUCCACAGCAAAUAUACAAGUAGGAGAGGAGAUUAAGUUAAACACCCUCAUUUUUCACCCUAGACCUCAGCAGCCUCACCUUCUUCCUCUGCCUCCAACUGCUGCUUCUCCUCUCUUCCAAGGUUCCCUGCGUCUCCGCCGGCGCCAGCCACUAGUUCGCCGCCGUUCGUCCAGCGCGCUGACCCUCACAACCCGCCGUUCAUCGACGGUGCGUUCGACUUUGCGUUCUCCGCAAGGCUCGACAAGGCGCUGUUCCCGGCGAGAUUCGCUAGAGAGAUGGAUCGCCGUGUCAGGUCUGGUGGCUCGUGUGUUUAUUCGCUAGCAAGGCCCAAAUGAAAUAAAUUAUAUCCCCCAUUGGAUGAAAAACUCUAUGAUUGGGUUGGGUCAGGGAGACACUUCACUCACAAUCUUAUUUCUUAUUCAUCUUCUCUUCACGUGUGUUUUGUUUCUCUAAUUCUCCCAAUCAAAUUUUAGUCUCAGGCAUCUUCUCCAAUAAUCCCAACGAACGAGUGUCAAGACUGGCCUAGCAGGUUAAUCAAUGGAUAGAAAAAAGCACAGAAUCAUGAUGGUCUCUGAUUUUUUCUAUCCCAACUUUGGUGGCGUCGAGAACCACAUCUAUUAUCUCUCUCAGUGCUUACUCAAGCUAGGCCACAAGGUAGUGGUUGUAACUCAUGCAUAUGAAAACCGAUCUGGGGUUAGAUACAUGACUGGUGGUUUGAAAGUUUACUAUGUUCCGUGGAGGCCUUUUGUUAUGCAGAACUCAUUCCCAACCCUAUUUCCCUCACUCCCCAUUAUUAGAACCAUUCUCAUUCGAGAAAGAAUCACUAUUGUCCAUGGACAUCAAGCAUUUUCCACUCUCUGUCAUGAAGCUCUCAUGCAUUCUAGAACCAUGGGGUACAGGGUUGUAUUCACGGAUCAUUCUCUCUAUGGAUUUUCGGAUGCUGGAAGCAUACAUAUGAACAAGGUCUUGCAGUUUACAUUGGCUGAUGUGAGUCAGGCCAUAUGUGUUUCGCAUACGAGCAAGGAGAAUACAGUGUUGCGGUCGGGGCUGCCCCCGGAGAAGGUUUUUGUUAUACCUAAUGCUGUGGACACUGCAAUGUUCAAGCCAGCGGUGGUGCAGCCGAGCCGCUCGGAGAUUGUUAUUGUUGUUAUUAGCCGGUUGGUUUAUCGCAAGGGAGCAGAUUUGCUUGUUGAAGUCAUUCCAGAUGUAUGCCGUCUACAUCCCAAUGUUCGUUUCAUUGUUGGAGGUGAUGGACCUAAGCGUGUGCGGUUGGAGGAGAUGAGAGAAAAACAUUCUCUUCAAGAUCGAGUUGAAAUGUUGGGAGCCGUGCCACAUGCACAAGUCCGAUCUGUUCUAAUAUCAGGACACAUCUUCUUAAACAGUUCCUUAACUGAAGCUUUCUGUAUAGCCAUAUUAGAGGCUGCUAGUUGUGGAUUGUUAACAGUUAGCACACGUGUUGGAGGAGUUCCCGAGGUUUUACCAGAUGACAUGAUCAUUUUGGCAGAACCUGAUCCUGGUGAUAUGGUGCUUGCGAUUGAAAGGGCAAUAUCAAUGCUGCCAAAAGUUGAUCCACAAGUCAUGCACCACCGGAUGAGGGAACUCUAUAACUGGCAUGAUGUUGCCAAAAGGACUGAAAUUGUAUAUGAUCGUGCUUUGAAGUGCCCCAAUCAAAAUCUACUUGAACGGCUCUCACGAUACCUUUAUUGCGGAGUGUGGGCAGGCAAGCUGUUUUUCCUGGUUAUGAUAGUUGAUUUUUUGUUUUGGCGGCUAUUGGAACUAUGGCAGCCUGCAGAGGACAUUGAGGAGAUGCCAGAUUUAACUCUUCCACACAUCUCCAACAAAGAGACAUUGCAAGAAACCGAAUGAAACGUGUGUUGUGAUACUGAAUUUUCAUUACUGUCUAGUCUGCAAUGCAGAAUAUAAAGAGAAUAUUUUAUUGUUCAGUUGGCUUCGUUGCAUCGCUGGACUACGCAGCUUCUGCACCAGAAAUCAGAGGCAUGAAGCAUGUGGAUUGCCAUUUAGAUUGUAGUGAGCCAAGGUAGAAGCUUUGUUAGUGACCAAACAUGUCAAUUUGGUCUUUGGAAUUGAAAUCACGAUUUAUUUAUUUUUUCUAUGAGGUGCUUAGAGUUUAGGUUCUUUCUUCCACGAGAAUUUGCGACUUCCAGUUUUUGUUCCUCGGAAAUAUUCCCACAAGAAAGAUCCUCUCUUCCAUGUAAUGAAAAUUAUGUUUGAGAUAGUUCUAUUGACUCUAUAUGUAUGCUUAUUGAUUGGGCUAGUUUAAUUGACUGCCUAAAUUGCUUUA